rnacentral:SRP_RNA from 1 species
CCGUGCUAGACGGGGAGGUAGCGGCGCCUUGUAACCUGCAAUCCGCUAUAGCAGGGUUGAUGCUUGGUUGAGGGACUACAUUGUGAAGUCGGUUCCAGAAAAGUGAUGUUGAGAAUUGGGUCCUGCGCAAUAGAUACUUGUGAACCCCGUCAGAUCCGGAAGGAAGCAGCGGUAAGCAAGACCAUCUAUGUGCCGCAGGGGUUCCUGGUUUGAGUUAACUCUCUGGGUUACGUUCAUAGUGCAUUUUCAAAGCCAAGUGCACGG